rnacentral:tRNA from 1 species
CCUUGGGUGGUACAAACAGGUAAUGCAUUCGGCUGCUAACCAAAAGGUUGGAGGUUCGAGUCCACCCACAGGUG